AUACGUAGGUGACAAGCGUUAUCCGGAUUUACUGGGCGUAAAGGGCGUGUAGGCGGUCUUGCAAGUCAGAAGUGAAAUUCCUGAGCUCAACUCGGGCGCUGCUUCUGAAACUGCAGGACUUGAGUGCUGGAGGGGAUAGCGGAAUUCCUAGUGGAGCGGUAAAAUGCGCAGAUAUUAGGAAGAACACCGGUGGCUAAGGCGGCUAUCUGGACAUAAACUGACGCGGAGGCGCGAAAGCGUGGGGAGCAAACAGGAUUAGAUCCCCUGGUAGUCCACGCCGUAAACGAUGACUACUAGGUGUAGGGGGUAUCGACUCCCUCUGUGCCGCAGUUAACACAAUAAGUAUUCCGCCUGGGGAGUACGGCCGCAAGGUUGAAACUCAAAUGAAUUGACGGGG
rnacentral:rRNA from 1 species